AGCAGUCUGAGGGAGCAGGAAAGACCUUUUGAAAACAAAGCAGUUACUUCCCAUAUUCAGAGAAAGUGAUGAACUCCAGAGGCUGCAGUGAGAAGUGAAGUACCCAAGGAGGCCAGCUCAUUUCACACAGUGGGAACCACGCCAUCCACAAGCCUUCUGCACCUCGCCCAGCACCUCCUGAACAAAGGCCUCUGGCUGCCAGGAGGGUUUGCUAGCAGCAGAGUACAGGAGACGUGCCAGCACCAAGCCUCCCUCUUGAUGGAAAGGCAGCCCAAAGGGCAUGUCCUGUUAGCACCAGGUGGCCAAAGUAUUGGAGCUUCAGCUUCAGCAUCAGUCCUUCCAGUGAAUAUUCAGAGUUGAUUUCCUUUAGGAUGGACUGGAUUGACCUUGCUGUCCAAGGGUUCAUUGCACUAAUUAAUGUGGAUAACCAACAGUUGACUUUAAAACUGUUUACAUUUUGGCUUCCAUGCCUCUGGAGUAGGAUGAAAAUAUCUAAUAUUUUUUUUCCUGCGGUGAGCUGUCGGACUCUAUUUGCACAGUCUGCCUCUCCCAUCUGGCCUGGAAUGUUGGAUGGCAGUGUUCAGAAAGAGCAUUGUGUACACAGAAAUGCAACCUUCUCUCAUUGACCCCCUCGGAUCUGAUUUAUGCUUUGUCCCUCAGCUUCUUGGUACUUAGCUAUUCAGUUUGCAUUCCAUUUCACUGCAUUUUGUAC
ensembl:lncRNA